GUUAAGUCGUUAAGAGUGUAACUAUUGAACAAGUUAAAAAAUAAACCAAGUUGUAUGUAUACGAUGUAGGUACCCUGCAAUCUAACACGUACGGAUUGCCUAUCUCAGUUGAAUUAUUUGACAAAGCGAGUUGCACCGAACAUAUUUUACCUGUGGGUGAAGUCGGUUUAUAUACAGACAGUAUAUCUGUAUAAAAAAAAUAUCUAAACUGCCCAACGCAAGAGGUGUUUUAUACUCAUUAACUUUACAAUAUUUAUACAAUUAUAAUCCCUCUCUUAUUCCCUCAAUUACAGACGAUAACCUUUGUAAUCAAAGCCUUUUCUUUUUAAAAUAAUAAUUUUAAAAAAUAUCUGUUUAAAUAUAACGUAGAGAAAUAUUACGAAUAUUAUUAUUGGUUUAUGCUCGCGUUAUGAAUACUCACGGAAACAGUAUUAUUACGAAAAAAUCACAUGUCAAAAUUUAAUACGUACAUUAAGCAACGCACGAUAUCCUGGUCAGUGUUGUACUGUUGUGUAUUUAUUAUGUACAUCACCGGGAUUUCCGACAGGCUCAGCGGUGUUAUGCAAUGGGUACCUACGCCGUAUAUCUGUAUGCUUUCGUACGUAUUAGGUUACGUUUUUACGUGUCAGCAUUUUACGUGCCAAGAAUAUUUUUAUUCGGACUGAUGAACGAUGGUCGACUGCGCGCUGAUGCUUGA